AUGUUCUCUGGCCCCAUGGUCAGGCCCUCAGUCUCUCUGCUUCCCCCCUCCUCUGAGCAGCUCUCUGGGGGCUCGGCCACGCUGGCCUGCCUGCUGACUGGCUACUCUCCUCAGGGAGCUGUGGUGAGCUGGGAGGUGGACGGUACAGAGGUGACAGAGGGGGUCCUGACCAGCUCAGAGGAGGAGAAGAGCGGACGCUACAGCAGCAGCAGCACCCUGAGCCUGAGCAAGGAGCGCUGGAUGGGAGGAGAGCUGUACUCAUGCAGGGUCCUCCAUCAUGACCACAGCCAGACACAGUCCCUCCACAGGAGCCAGUGUAAGGGUUAG